CAGCAGCCCACAGCAGCCGAGUUCGCGCCGCCGGUAGGUGCUGCCAUGCCAGGGGGCGGGAUCGUGGAGCGCCUCGCAGAACCGCACGAAAGCAAAAACAAAGCCAUCUCUCCGGAGCAGAAAUAGAACAGACGUGGCCGGGGAAAGCCAAAUAUUGCCUGCCGUCCUGGUGAACACAAUCGAGCAAGGCAGUGAAGCAAACAUCAUUAGGUGGCUGGACUCAGACACAUCACGCUCCAGUUUGGGUUCCAAGGUGCUUCUCUCUGGAUUUUCACCUGCCUUGCCAAAAAUGAUUGAUUACGCUGGGCCAACUGGGUGUCCGGCAAUACCCAACAAAUGACUUUGGCCCCUAACAGCAGGUCUUGGCCAGACAGAAAUCAAUAUUUCACCAUUAAAAUCUAUCAAAGAAGAGUUAAGGCACCAUCUGUCCCUGCCGCCUCUCUAUGGUGUGUGAACAUUAAAUCCGACACUUGUACUACAUGGGUAAUCAAUAUAUAGUGGUUCACAGAUCAUUUGUGGUUCCCUUUUAGCAGUGAUGGAUGUCUGGAAUCGUUGUGAUUCAUUUUGUCAGACCAUUAAACAAGAUUCUGUCCGCUUGUGGCCUUGAACAACUGCCUUAACAUUGCUGAAACUCAAUAUCUUCAUUUGAACAAACAGAGUGGUGAUUUCCACCCCACAGUGGUGUUGUUCAGAAUGAACAUGAAAAUAAAGCAGCGAGCAUGUAGUCGGCUCUCGUUAAAAUCCUGGAUAUGGAGUCCGAGAUAUGGAAGGCCAAUUGGCUGCCAAAGAAAUGGGAGAGACAACACGUGCGGUGGCUUCAAAGGAGGAGGGAGAGUUGAGUUUAAACUAAUGAAGUAAAGGCAGGGAUGGGAGACUGAAAGGAAGGAAGACGCUGACACUUCUUCAGUGUGAUUGUAUGCCAUACACUGUGCUGGGUGCUGUUAAUACAACAACGCUUCUGGCUAUGUACUGUUUAACC
rnacentral:lncRNA from 1 species